AGCACAGGACACAGCUGGGUUCUGAAGCUUCUGAGUUCUGUAGCCUCACCUCUGAGAAAACCUCUCUUCCACCAACACCAUGAAGCUGUGCGUGACUGUCCUGUCUCUCCUCGUGCUAGCAGCUGCCUUCUGCUCUCCAGCACUCUCAGCACCAAUGGGCUCAGACCCUCCCACCGCCUGCUGCUUUUCUUACACCGUGAGGAAGCUUCCUCGCAACUUUGUGGUAGAUUACUACGAGACCAGCAGCCUCUGCUCCCAGCCAGCUGUGGUCUAACUCCAGUGGGUGGAAGUUACAGGGAGUCUGGUUCCAGUGCUGCCCCGGGAAGGAUCCCAUGCACCAGAGCUGCCCACAUGGACCAUGGUCAGGCAGAGGAAGAUGCCGACCCCAGGCAAGGGAAAAAGCCAGAUGACCUCAAAGGUCUCAUGGGAUUCUCAUCUGUCUGCUCCUUGUUCUACAGAUUCCAAACCAAAAGAGGGAAGCAAGUCUGCGCUGACCCCAGUGAGACCUGGGUCCAGGAGUACGUGUAUGACCUGGAA